rnacentral:rRNA from 1 species
UGAGGAAUAUUGGUCAAUGGACGCAAGUCUGAACCAGCCAAGUAGCGUGCAGGAUGACGGCCCUAUGGGUUGUAAACUGCUUUUAUAUGGGAAUAAAGUGAGGGACGUGUCCCUUAUUGCAUGUACCAUACGAAUAAGGACCGACUAAUUCCGUGCCAGCAGCCGCGGUAAUACGGAAGGUUCGGGCGUUAUCCGGAUUUAUUGGGUUUAAAGGGAGCGUAGGCCGUUUGGUAAGCGUGUUGUGAAAUGUAGGAGCUCAACUUCUAGAUUGCAGCGCGAACUGUCAGACUUGAGUGCGCACAACGUAGGCGGAAUUCAUGGUGUAGCGAUGAAAUGCUUAGAUAUCAUGAAGAACUCCGAUUGCGAAGGCAGCUUACGGGAGCGCAACUGACGCUGAAGCUCGAAGGUGCGGGUAUCGAACAGG